ACAAGAACAAGCUGAGUCAGACCGGGUUGACUGCCGAAGGAAAGAGGGUGGAUAACAGUCCCAGCCAUCAAAGAGACAGAAGGAGUAAUUAGAUUUCCUUAAUGGAGUACAACCAAAGCAGAUAAGACUGAGUUUUGCUAGUCAUUGGUAGAAAUGUAUCGUUAUGUAGAAUGUCACUGAAUGUGACAGCUGUACAAAAAAAAUACGUCAAUAAAUAUACAUAAGUACGUUUAACUAUAGUUUUCAAGACAAUUUAACUGUUUUACCUGUCAUUACAUCGCUUACUCGCUCAGUCGAUUGCCUAGCAAAACCGUUCAGCCAGUUUAACACCGAGCAAUGGUUGCCUGCAACGCUUGGUGGUAUAUGCGAGGUUAAUUAAAAUUCCAAGUACAAAAAAUAAUUAUUUAUUUAUGCGCAAUAAGUUAAUAAUUAAAAUGCUAUCACAAUUUAUUUAGUGGAUGAAAAUUUCUAUAUAAAGAAUGUAACCUAAAAUCAAAAUGCUUUUGUUGAGAGAAUAAUAGUAAUGUUUUAUAAUUAAAAAUGGAAUAAAUGUAAGAGAAUACAUAUAUUAUCCUUCUUUUUUGUAUAGUAGAAUAAGUUCAUUUAGAAUACUGUAAUGUUUGGAAAAUAAAAGUUGAUCUUUGUACCAUGAGCCUUCUACAAUUUACUACAUGCUUGGCAGAGCUUCUCCUCCCUUUUGUGGUGUGCCACUUGACUUUUAUGCGACAAAUGGAUGAAUAUAGUGCCCUGCGAACAGGGCAUAUGAGAAGCUUAUCCCUGGGUUCAAACAUAACGAAACGCUCCUGAGAGAAGCUCGUCACUUAAAAAUUUUAACAGGGAUUGACUAGGUUAAAUAGACUAACUUAUAUGAAUUCUCAUAUGAAUAGAGAGAAUGUCAAUCAAAAUUGAUUAUUUCACUUUUAUAUAGUUUUAAAACCUUUCAAAUAUAAUUACAAAACACUUUAUAAAUUAUUACACCGCAAAAGCCUGUCAAUUUAUUAGCAUAGUAAUAUUUGUUGUUUAUAAUUUUCAACAGAUUUCCUAUUUUAAUAUUCAGAUAUCAAUUCACGAGUACAGAUGUAAUACAAUGUAAAUUUAAUAACUAGUAUUCAAUACCACACCUAUCUUAACAAAUUAAAACUGAGGCUCAUAGUUGUCACUCGCUUCGUGCAAUCUUUGAAUAUACUUAUAGUAAAUGCACACUGCACGUCCCAAACUAUUGGAAAAACAAAUUUAUGUAAUGGAAAAGAUUUGAUUACACUAUGGAACAAAUUGAGAGAUUUUUU